rnacentral:misc_RNA from 1 species
ACAAUAUGGCUGAAAAUAAGAGUGGUUUCUUGUUGAAUUUGUUGCCACAAAUAGUCAUUUAAAUUUUAAAUAAUGUCAGUUAUACUUGAAACAACUAUCGGGGAUUUAGUUAUCGACCUUUUUACCGAGGAAAGACCUAGAACAUGCCUGAAUUUUCUGAAAUUGUGUAAAGUCAAGUUUUAUAACUACAGCCUUUUCCAUUUUAUUCAGAGAAACUUUCUAGCUCAAACUGGGGACCCGACUGGGUCAGGUCGAGGUGGGGAGUCUAUAUUUCGAUCACUUUAUGGUGACCAAGCUAAAUUCUUCGAUGCGGAAACCAAACCAAGAAUCAAGCAUGUCAAGAAAGGAACUGUGUCCAUGGUGAAUAAUGGCGAUGACAUGCAUGGCUCCCAGUUCUUUGUUACUCUUGGUGAAAAUCUGGAUUACUUGGAUGGCAAGCAUACAGUGUUUGGUGAGGUUGCUGAAGGAUUCGAUAUCUUGGAAAAACUAAAUGAAACCAUUUGUGACGAUGGCCAUCGGCCAUUUCAAGAUGUGAGGAUAACUCAUACAGUCAUAUUGGACGACCCCUUUGAUGAUCCAGAUGGACUUCAAGUACCAGAUAGGUCACCUGAACCAACCAAAGAACAGCUUGAUAGUGGCCGUAUUGGUGCAGAUGAAGAAAUCGAUGAUACCAAAGGCAAAACAAUGGAAGAGGUCGAGGAAAUGAUUGAACAAAGGGAGUUUCAAGCUGGUACACAGAUCUUGGAAAUGGUUGGAGACAUACCAGAUGCCGAUGUUAAGCCUCCGGAAAAUGUUCUCUUUGUUUGUAAAUUAAAUCCUGUUACAACCGAUGAGGAUUUGGAAAUUAUAUUUUCUCGGUUUGGGCCCAUAAAAUGCUGUGAGAUAAUAAAAGAUUCUGUCUCCAAAGAGUCUCUUCAGUACGCCUUCAUUGAGUAUGAGAACGUGGAAGAUUGUGAGAGAGCUUACUUCAAAAUGGACAACGUUCUUAUCGAUGAUCGGCGAAUUCACGUUGACUUCAGUCAAUCUGUAGCAAAACUGGUUUAUAGCAAACCUGGGGCAAAGCCGGUGUACGAGUUGAAAAACAAAAAAGAGCCAGCUGGACCGAAACUCGAAAUCAAGGGUUCCUCGAGGAAGGACAAAUAUGAUUUAGUGUUUGAGGGUAACAGCGAGGAGGAAAAGAGUGAUGGAGAGAGACAGUCCAAGAGAAGAAAAGAAAGACGUAAGAAACGACGUAACUCGUCUAGCGAAGAAAGCAGUCCUGAACACGACAGAAAAACUGCCCAGCAUCAUAGACACAGUGAUCGCCGUAGCAAGAAUGAGCAGAACAGGGAGCCCAGUCCGAGGACGAAAUAUCAGAGAACAGAACCUGCUCGGAGUGACCGCAAACUUGAGCAUCGGAAGUCCGACGACAACCGCCAAAGACACGACGAUAGCCACCGAAAAUCUGACGAAAGUCACCGGCGGUCUGACAAUAGUUCCCGGAAGUAUGACGAAAGUCACCGGAAGUCCGACGAUAGUUACCGGAAAUCUGACGAGAGUCGUCGAAAAUCUGACGGAAGUCACCGAAAGUCUGACAAUAGUUACCGGAAAUCUGCUGAUACUUACAACAAGUCUGACGAUGGUUACCGGAAAUCGACCGAUGGAAAUCGGAAGUCAUACGACAAAGACCGGAAAGCUGAAGACAACUCGUACCGAAAAUCUGGAAGCAAAAGGUUAAAGACGUGAAGGUGAUAUUUUAUGACUGAAUGCCGAAGAAAACUUAUGAAGGCGACUCGUCCCAAACCUAAUACGGUAAGCCCGGGAUGAAAACGUUCAACGAACCUAUUGUCUGGCAGAGCUUAAAAAGUCCAACUUCAGGAAGAGAAAAAACGUUAUUUUUAAAAAUCGUCAAUAUUUUGAACUAAUAGGGGUAGUUUUAUUGAGAAUUUCAAAACUGCACACAAUUGUUUAUUAUAUUAAAUAUUUAAUUCGGAACAGCUUAUUACACACCAUUUACAACCUACCCUCGUUUAAAACCUGGUAACGAGGAUGUUUACAACCCGACCCACUCCACCAAAAUAGAAUGAAAAGCUUAAUCAGGGUCUAAAGCGCAAGUCGUCCAACCUCCUUCCCAGGCCCUUUUCUGGGCAAAUAUGGCGGGGUGAUGCCGUCCGUUUUCCUGGUGCAGCAUUUGACAUUUUAAACUAACUUUAUUGCUUACGUGGAAUUAGUUUAAGUAUAGGUACAUUAUUAUCAGUUUAUUUAUUUAUAGACGAGGAGAAUUCGAUUAAAUGUUGCCCCCAAGGCAAGAUAUAUCCCAGAGAUAUAUACAUAUCAUCAGGCUAUGGUGAAGAUCCGUAAAGUAAAGUGAGGUGUGGUAAGGUAAAGAGGUGUGAUAUGGUAUGCCACGGUGAGUGGCAAGGUAGGAGUAAUAAGUAAAGUUUAUUGGUAUGGUAUGGUGUGAUGUGGUAUGGUAUGGUAUGCUAUGCUAUGCUA